GCGAGCGACAUAAUUAGGCGAAUUCGCGUGCAGGAUUGCAACUCUGCACGAUUUCGGAUCGGCCUUCGCUUUUCAAAAAUGGACGACGGUAAUAAACGUGUUGGGCUAAACGUUGCCACGGGCCGAUGUAGUGCGACAUCUAUGCUUCUCUCACGUAACGUUAACGCCGUGCUACAAAAUAUGGUAAUCAUACACCGUGAAAUAAAGCAGAAAAGUGACAUGCAAUGCAGUUUUAAAUUCCAAUUAAGAAGUAAACUGUGUGUUGAGAUACCGCUGCCUUGGACCACCUUUUAAAUUAUUCAAUCUAUAUAGCAUUAGAGGCUUAUAGGUGAUAGGCGUGUAGAAUAUGUGUCUUCAAAACAGUAUAACACAAUAGCGAGCAUGUGUAAAGUUAUCAAUGUGCGCAAUUACAUGCAGUUUAGGUAUUGAACUAAUUCACUUAAAUUUGGGAAAAUAACUAAAAUCCGAAAAGUCCAAUUUACAACUUCGGCACCCACGCCUGCGGUACUUUGCGUCGUCAAUUCCGGCGAAAGACAUCAACCUGACCCGGGCCGGCCGGUCGCCGUUGGCUCGCUUGCUACAAAAUGGUGUCUCGGAGGACGCGGCGUAUAAUUAUCGAUUUGAACGGCGUUUAAAAAUUAUACUUCAGUCAAGCUUGUUAAAAUGGUGCAAUAUUUCAGCGUGUGCAAACAACACGUAGAAGGGACGGUAUACUUACAAUUGAACGAAAGAGGUUUUCUAAAACUCUCCCCCAAACACAAUAUCGUUGCUGUAUAAUGUACGGCCCGCUUUAAAAGCAUAAAGGCACUCCGAACACAUUUUACCCGAGGUUUAACAAACAAAAUACACUAAAAAUGGCGCACCGAGCAUAGUAUUCCAGUAACCGGCUUAACUUUAUCUAGAUCUGUUAUAACCACAAUCCAUUUUUGGAUGAAAUCACUUAAAAACAUUAUAGUGUUAAAACAGAGAUGAAAAAUGCUAUAAUUCAAGUUACAAUGUAUAUCAAGCAGUAAAGAAUGCUUGUGUUCUGUUAUUUGAACAGAUAGAACGAUGUGUGAAAUUUUUAGACCGACGAAAUGGCUUUUUAAAUGCCAAAAACUUUAUACAAAAAAAUACAAAUAAGCAGAAAAUAAAAGUUGUAACUAAAACAAAACUUAGGAAUAACUGGCAACUUUAUUACUGGAACUGCACCGUUUAAAUUCAAGUUCAGAAAAAACUCUAAAAUUAAACUGAAAAUUAUCGGCCCUGAGAUUUUGGCGAUAACCAUAAGCCUAAUUGGUAAGCUAAUGGUUUGGCUGGUGUAAGCCCCUAUGCUAGCAAUGCAUUCGCCACAGUUCUAUGGAGGCACCUAUGAAAAUAAGCCCUUUAGCUUUUCGCACCUAAAUUUGAGAUAACUUAUUCGCCGUGGAAGACCUGCCGUGAGGUUUCUAAGACUCGAUUGGUCACGCAACCUACACUGUGAAGGUGUUUUGAAGUCUUAACACUAUACCGUGAUUUUGCAAACGUUGAAACUAAGACGCGUGAUAAUUUAAAUUUGAAAUCCGAUAGCGUUAGGGCGCCGAAGAAUAUAAGGGUAAAGAAGAUACCACAGUUUUCAGUGUUAUAGUUGUUGUGUGUGGUGCAGGUAACUGAUGUUAUGUUAUCUGUAGUGACGCAGAAUGAUUCAUAAAAGAGAGCAUCAAUACCGGAUUUGAUAACCAAAGGACACAGUUCGGCCAGAAGCAGAUUUACACAGUCAUACAUGCUUGCCUCAUAAAUAUAGGAAGUUACAGCAAAAAAGCAACACGUAAAAUAAAGCAAAAAUAGGAAGCAAAUCUUUAGAUAAAUAUUGUAGGAGUCAGUUUUCUGAAAAUCAAAUAAACGAUGUAUAGGCUAACUGUAAAUUAUUAGAGCAAAAUCAGAAUUAAAUGUAUCGGAAGAAACGAAUUAUUACUUUUAUAAGAAAUGUUGAUAAAAACCGAGUGGUUUACAAGACUCAAUUAACAGAGCUAGUUGAGUGAAGCGAUUCAAACGAUCCAUCGCCCCAAACUAUCUAUAUCGUAUUGUGGCAUCUAUAUUGCUGGGAAUAGCAGGGCGUGCGUUAUCCGGGAAAACCAAUGCAGACGUCUUGCCCUGAAUACCAACACUGUGUGUGGUGGUGCGCAAGCGAAGAGACAUGUCUCGGCAUUUUAAAACAGGUGACUGAAUAUUGUACUUUACCGAAAUACGUAUAAAUUACUGUGGGGCAAGGUGGAUACCGUUUUCACAUAAUAUCCGAUAUUUCCUAAACAAGUCGCAACGAGAAAUACUCACACACAUAUAAUAUAUCGGUAAAUAACCUUUGUUUUCUACCAAAUGUAGACAUGAAAAAUGAAAACAUAGACUAUUCUACCCCAGCCUACCAUACGCCUAUAAAGCAUUAUGUGACACAAAAUGAGAGCAUGAAUAUACAUGCAUUCAAAACGUCAAUCAAAUACGCAGUUACAACUUGAAAGUUUUAUUUGUUUUGUUACAACAUAUAUAAGCAUUAAUUAACAAUACUAAAUACUACGCACAUUACCUAUGUAUAAACACCCUCGCAAAACUUGACAUUUCGAUUUGUAAACUUAUCUUCCAUUAGAGGCCAAAUUGGUGCCGUGAAAUCAAAAAAACAACUUUAACCUAAACCGUAUUUAAAACUCUUAAGGCAAAACAUAAUGGGAUUUGCAUGUUUUGCAUACUAAAAGAUGAAGGGAUAUUAACUUGUCAUUUCACGUGCACACUUAACAAAAAUACAAUAUCACGAGGCCGUAAAACACAAGUUUUUAAAGUUUUACCUUGACCUAGUUUUACCUGCUAGGUGGAGCAAGAGAGUCGUACCUCGGAACGGUGAGUUCAGCAACUGCGUGUUGGCCAUUUUCUUAAAUUUUUAUCGAGUCAACUGCAAAAAAACAUAAUUUUGUAAAAUACUAAAAAAC